rnacentral:rRNA from 1 species
AACGCGAAGAACCUUACCCAGUCUUGACAUACAGUAGACAGUUCUAGAAAUAGAAUCUUCCUUAGGGACUGCUGAACAGGUGCUGCAUGGCUGUCGUCAGCUCGUGCCGUGAGGUGUUGGGUUAAGUCCCGCAACGAGCGCAACCCUUAUCAUUAGUUGCCAACACGUAAAGGUGGGAACUCUAAUGAGACUGCCUGGGUUAACCAGGAGGAAGGUGAGGAUGACGUCAAGUCCGCAUGGCCCUUAUGACUGGGGCUACACACGUGCUACAAUGGUCGGUACAAAAGGCAGCGAAGCCGCGAGGUGAAGCAAAUCCCAAAAGCCGAUCUCAGUUCAGAUUGUAGUCUGCAACUCGACUACAUGAAGACGGAAUUGCUAGUAAUGGCGAGUCAGCAACAUCGCCGUGAAUACGUUCCCGGGCCUUGUACACACCGCGAGC